UACAUUUCCCAGAAUGCAACGAGGGGAGCGACCUGCUUACGGAGAGGUUGAGAGGGACGUCCUAGGCCUCCUGGGAUCUGUAGUUUCACCCUACCACCAGCCUAAUCCUGAGAGUGGCCGGCGGAGUUAAGGCGGACUGGAGGGUCAGGCUGACUUCCCCUCAGGAUUACAAAACAUCUGAAGCAGUUCUAGGCUAAACAUCCCAGCAAGACCAUAACCAGAGAAAAAUCACUUUGGAAGCUGUUGUAGAAGUUAGCAGGAGGCUUGGCCUGGAGGUAUGACCUGUGUAAACAAUGUCAUCAAGAAAAGGGGAAAUAUGCUAAGAAUUCUGCCUAAAA